rnacentral:rRNA from 1 species
CAGUCGCCACGGUAACACGUAGGGUGCAAGCGUUGUCCGGAUUUAUUGGGCGUAAAGGGCUCGCAGGCGGUUUCUUAAGUCUGAUGUGAAAGCCCCCGGCUCAACCGGGGAGGGCCAUUGGAAACUGGGAAACUUGAGUGCAGAAGAGGAGAGUGGAAUUCCACGUGUAGCGGUGAAAUGCGUAGAUAUUGGGAAGAACACCAGUGGCGAAGGCGGCUCACUGGACACGUAUUGACGCUGAGGUACGAAAGCGUGGGGAGCAAACAGGAUUAGAUACCCCUGUAGUCCCUGUCUCUUAUAC